GAUGAACGCUAGCGGCAGGCCUAACACAUGCAAGUCGAGGGGUAGAACACUUCGGUGUUUGAGACCGGCGCACGGGUGCGUAACGCGUAUGCAAUCUACCUUGUACAGGGGAAUAGCCCAGAGAAAUUUGGAUUAAUGCCCCAUAGUAUAUAACCUUCGCAUGUUGGUUAUAUUAAAGUUCCAACGGUACAAGAUGAGCAUGCGUCCCAUUAGUUAGUUGGUAAGGUAACGGCUUACCAAGACGAUGAUGGGUAGGGGUCCUGAGAGGGAGAUCCCCCACACUGGUAAUGAGACACGGACCAGACUCCUACGGGAGGCAGCAGUGAGGAAUAUUGGUCAAUGGGCGCAAGCCUGAACCAGCCAUGCCGCGCGCAGGAAGACGGUCCUAUGGAUUGUAAACUGCUUUUAUACAGGAAGAAACCCUCCCACGUGUGGGAGAUUGACGGUACUGUAGGAAUAAGGAUCGGCUAACUCCGUGCCAGCCGCCGCAGUAAGAC
rnacentral:rRNA from 1 species